AGCGAACGCUGGCGGCGUACUUAACACAUGCAAGUCGAACGAGGAUCGCUACGUGAGCAAUCAUGCGGCGGUUCUAGUGGCGUACGGGUGAGUAACACGUGGGCAACCUGCCCUGGAGCCUGGGAUACCCUCUCGAAAGGGAGGCUAAUACCGGAUACGUUCCCCGGGUCGCGAGAUCUGGGAGGAAAGGUGGCGCAAGCUGCCGCUCUUGGAGGGGCGUCGCGGCCUANCAGCUAGUUGGUGAGGUAAUGGCUCACCAAGGCUAUGACGGGUAGCUGGUCUGAGAGGAC
rnacentral:rRNA from 1 species